AGGCUCCUUGAUUUUAUUCGUUGACAAAAUAGAACAUGAACGAAUAUGGACAAUUAUAAAAGAAAAAAUUUAUGAGGUUGGAUUUCAAAGAAGCUUGGACGGAUGGCGUCAAACACAACCUACUUCUGAGGAUGGUUCCACAACCCAACUAACAUCUGAUGAUACUACUUUAAUAUGGACAAAUGUGGCAGGAGGUGUGAAGAAAGGCAGAGUUUACGGGCUUGGAGCACAGCCUUCCUCAUGUCAUCUAUCACCGUUGUUGUCUGGUGCUUCUACUUCUCAAACUUCAGAAGAAAUGGAAGCAAUGCGAAGAUAGAUUUGAAUGCUAACAGAACGACUUCAAUUAUCUGAAGCUAACUAUGCUAAAGUGCAGAAGUUCAUGGAGAAACAUAUGGUUGAAUCUGAUGAUGGCGAAGAAGAGACCGACUCUGAUGAAGAGUAAAUUAUGUUCUGGUUGUUUAGAAAUUUUUCUAUGACAUUUAGACUUGUUUUAAACUAUUUACUUCCGUUUUGAUUAACAACUUAAUACUUAUUAGACUUGAUUUUGAUGAUGCUUGAACUUUUA